UAAAAGGAGAUGGCCGUGGGGCAGGGAGGGGAUGACCAGACUUCAGCAACUCUUCCUCCUGGUUCUCUCCUUUCAAGUCCUCCUCCCCUCAAGCCCACUGAACAUGGCCUUGGAACUCACGUAGCAUUCUAGUCCCAGGCCCAAAGUCUUCUCAUUGCCCCUCAAUUGGACCCACCUUUUCCACCCAGCGUCUAACAGCUGAAUAGCUGCUCAGAUCUUGAAACCUACUCCAACCUAGAAGAUGUCUAGAAGUCAUGUGGGGUCAAAGAACAGGCCUCUACCCACAUUUAUGUGGGUAAAUGAAGUCACAGCACAAGUCACCUACCCCACGUGGAAGACAGACCCUCCGGCACUGUCUCCUGCUUGUCUGCUGAACCUGACAUGUGAACCCCCAUCCGCAUGUGGGGCUGGGGAUGUGGUUGCCCCCUGUCCCAGAGGCCCACCUAUUGUCCCUACACAGACAUGGGGUCCAGCGUCAGCCCCUGCUGCUGCCUCCCCAAGAAAAAGUGGCCCAAAGAGCCCUGGCUACUCUCCAGGUGCUGACCAGGGGCCUGUUACUCUCAACAGACCUCCAUCGCUGCCAGAUACAGGGCCUCCUCCGCUCUGCAAGCCAUCCACACCACCUCCUCAGCCACUGCCCGCUACGUUCCCCUCCCCACAAGGCACUCUCCCAGAGCAGGGGCUUUCCUACCUCCAUGAUUUGUCCCUGAAGCUGACAUCCUUCAGCCCCGAGAAAGUCAUCUUCCAGGUUGUUAGCCUUACUCACAGGAUGCUACACAGGAUCCUCAGAGGCCUCCAGCCUGACACAAAUCAUGACCUGGUUUGAUCUUUAAAAUUUUCUCAAAAUCUAA